UGACUCUCACCACAGAGUGAUUAAUCAUAGUAAACUAUGUGCCAGCUUAUAUAUGUGAGUCCAAUCGAUCUAUCUUUUAUUGGCAUUACCCAUUGUGUAGAUUGGGAUUAUCUGCACCAACCUUCAUAGACUCCUAAAACUAUCCUAGGAUUAUCAGUUUCUCAAACAAUUGAAGUUGCAGCCUAUGUGAAAUCUUUAUUGCCUGAUAUGGUAGCACUAACUGUUUUUCUUUAUUUUAUGAAUCACAGUCUAAAGGCUCAAAAGCAGUUGACCAUUACCUGUCACGGUAUACAAAACACCUAUCUAAUAUUGGGGAAAAUUCAGCUGAUAUGUUCAUAUGUGAAUCAUCCACCCAAUUAGCUACAAUGCUUUCCAAGGCCAGUACCAUACCAACAUUGGAGCCAAAAGAGCAUGUGCCAAAUUGGACACAUACAUACGGUAUGAAAAUUUA